UACGGGGGGGCAAGCGGUUGUUCGGAAUUACUGGGCGUAAAGGGCUCGGUAGGCGGCCGACUCAGUCGGACGUGAAAUCCCUCGGCUUAACCCGGGGAAUGGCGGUCCGAUACUAGUCGGCUCGAGUGUGGGAGAGGGAUGGCGGAAUUGCCAGGUGUAGCGGUUCGAAAUGGUCGUAGGAUAAUCUGGAGGAACACCGGUGGCGAAGGCGGCGAUGCCUGGACGUACU
rnacentral:rRNA from 1 species